GUCGAAGUUUCCGAAGAUUUGUUGCGGUUUGGUGUGUCUUUUAUUUUUACGUAGAACUCAUAUCGAUCCGAUAUGCCGCGUCCGAAAAUGGAUUUUGCGACUAAUAAGUGGCGAGGCACCACGCGAGCAAGAAUGAACAGCCCUGGAGGUUAUGGGCACUGCUCAAUUGGCUCAUUCCUCGGUGCUUCUCGAAGGCCUGGUCAAGGAGGAGUUGCUCAGUGAACUACUAGUUUGAGUUCCCUGAGACGGACACCACUGACAUCACCUACAGUGCCGAGGUACAGGCUUAAUGGCAGAUAUCAAUAGGAGAUGAUGGUACGCGUCACGUCUGUUUGGUUGGACAGCCACCAAGUUGACUUGGAUGUCAGCGCUUGUUGUCAUCAGAACCUGGUUCUUGUGCUGCCACAUCAUUUUUGGUGGUGGCGCUGUCGUCACCUCCCAGCGCUUGCGCUCCCCGAGUUCCCAUUCAAGAUGGUGCUGCCACGGACUUUGGCUCGUGGGGGUGCCGUCGCUACUGACAAAGCCUUUGCUCCCCGUCGUCCCUGUUGAAAUGGUGGCUGGAACUUGGAGAGGGUUUGCCGCCACAGCUGGUCAGUUCAAGUUCCGCACAUUCUGCCGUAGCCCUUGGGAAUUCGUUCCUUCCAUGUUGAGGUUCUAGUAGGAGAAGUCCACCGCUGUUGAGCUACAUGUCACCACAGCAGUCAAUCUGCAGAGGGGCAUGGCCACGUGACCACACUUCUGAAAUGUUAGAGCCUUGUUGUGGACAUGGAGGCCGGUGUGAGAGAUUUAAUAUGCAUCUGGCACAUCUGCCCGGCGAAAGAACUCAUGGGUGUGCCACAUGGAAAGUGAGCAGACUGUGCAAGUCUCUUUUACAAAAUGGCGCUAACAAUAGGUAGUGUCUGAAUCAUUCUUGUCUUACGUAGGUGAUACUUUCUAGGCGUAAUGUGUUAGUAGAUAGCUAUGGUGUUAUUGCUUAACUCUGAACAAGAUACAAAG